UACGUAGGGGGCAAGCGUUGUCCGGAAUCAUUGGGCGUAAAGAGCGUGUAGGCGGCCCGGUAAGUCCGCCGUGAAAGUCCAGGGCUCAACCCUGGAAUGCCGGUGGAAACUGCCGGGCUGGAGUCCGGAAGAGGCGAGUGGAAUUCCUGGUGUAGCGGUGAAAUGCGCAGAUAUCAGGAGGAACACCAAUGGCGAAGGCAGCUCGCUGGGACGGUACUGACGCUGAGACGCGAAAGCCAGGGGAGCGAACGGG
rnacentral:rRNA from 1 species